rnacentral:lncRNA from 1 species
CACCCACACAAGCUGGUUAGCUGAAGUCACGUGUCAGCAUCUCUGAGGCUGUUCUUUUGAGAAGCACCCCAGAAGGGCAAACCGAAUUGCUGGGGAUAAAACAUGUCCAUUACCUUGCUUUAGAGGCGAUUAUCUUUAGAGCGAGAGUGAAAGUAGCUGAGCGAGCAGUUCCUGGGCAUUCUGCAAAGUCACAGGCAUCAGGAUCUCCAAGGCAGCCAGAAAGCGCCGAGCCACGCCAGUGUGGGAAAUUUGUGGCCAGAGCGAAGCCAAUAUUUCUCCAGCUAAACAAAAAUGCCAGGCAAGAUCCCCAGGGAUUAUGAAAGAGAAUGCACCCCUGAUUAACCAUGACCUCAAUCAGGGUACAGAACCCCAAGGAGCUAGCCCUGCAUGGGCAAUUCUAUUCAUAGUAACCACAAAUCACUGCAUGCCUCCUCUGUGUACCCAGAGAUCAUUUAUCCAGAGGCAGUGUCGUCCUCCAAAAGACACCCGUUUGGGUAGGUAUUUGGAAGCCACAUCGUCAAUCCUCCCAGCCAUACACCCGGCUCUAUACCGUGUGGUUUCACCUCAUCCUCCUUCUCAACAUUACACAUCCCCCGCCAGGGGUGAGGGCAGGGAAGGGGUCACUGAUUCUGCACUAGAAGAAAUAUCAGGGUUGGGGACGGGGAUGAACUGAAUUGAGACACCAUGAACCAGCUCUGGAGCAAGAAGGGCAGAAAGAGAUCCCAAGAACAACUUCAAGUAAGUAGUAAAGAAACUCCAUUUUCUGAAAGGGCAUUGUUUGUCGCUGGCUGUACGGAUCCUUUCAGAGCCUUACAAGCUUCCCUUCUGCAAUACGGUGGUGACGGUGCUGAGACAGAGACAGAAAGGGAAGGAAGAAUCUUGACAGAAUUAGGAUGUCCAGCAGGGAUCCUGGUACUUAUAAGAAUUGAUUCCAUAUGGAAAAUAGAAGAACAAAAGGAGAUUUUCCGAGCCUGAUGAUUCAUCCCCAGAUGAAGUGAAAACAUCUGCUUUGGCUUCAGAGAAAGAAUGUCCCCUCCCUGAGUCUUGUGCCAGACCUCCACCAGGGCAACGAUAUGGCCCAGCACGCCCAUGGCUGCAGGGAUAUUACUGGGCCUGUCAAGGUGACUCUUUGUGGGGAGAAGCCAGGGAGUCAAUGCUUCUCCCCACUCACAGUGCUAACGUGAUUCAAGUCAAUGGUUCCUGCUCUGUCUCCAGAAACAGAACUGAGAAAAUCUUGACGAAGCACUCUCAGGAAAUAGCAGGUAAGAGGUGAGGCCCCAGGAAACAUCUUCAGACUUCCUCUCUCAACAAAGAAGUCACAAUUUUGCUGAAAGGCUACUUCAGUUCUGCAGCUCCCAGCUUGGAGCAAUUUCAACCUGAGCAGCCUGCAACCUGUUGGAGCAGAUGUUUUACAGGUAGUCUGGUGUGGUGUAUUCUGAAGCAUCACUAGCUUGAAGGUCCAGCAUCACAGCAUCAGUUUUGUUUUGUUUGGUCAUUUGUUUUACCACUGCCACAGAGACAAACGGGUUCUGCACACACACUGGCAGACGGGAUUUGUUUGUCUCUUUUGAUGGCUAAGUAUUGACUUCAGAAUACAAGCCCUGAAGUCAAUAGACCUGACUUGGACCCUGGCUUGGUCUCUUACCCGGUAACUUUUGGCUAGUAAUGUAACCUUUCUGAGCCUCAGUUUCUGCAGAGUUGUUUAGAAUAGUAGAGUGUUUAGAAUACAGUGUCUGUCAUCUACUAACAAAUGAAUACUAUUAUUAUUUAGACAUGGAAGAAAAGAUAAGCCUAUAAUUGAAGUAAAACUCAAGCCCAACACUUAAGGAAUUUCAUAUGAACUGAAAAUCACAAUAAUUCUGCCUUCCCUGUGCACUGCCACAGAGGAAGGGCCGUGCUCAUCUGUACAACAGGGUUAAAAAACCUCAACAAUAAAGACCCAUAACCCAAUUAAAAAUAGGCAAAGGAUUUGAAUAGAUGUGUCUCCAGAGAAGACAUGCAAAUGGCCAUUAAGCACAUGAGAAGAUGUUCAACAUUGUUAGUCACUAAGGAAAUGCAAAUCAAAACCACAAUGAGUUUCCCCUUCAUAUCCACUAGAAUGGCUGAAAUCAAAAAGAUGAUAAUAAGUGCUGCAAGAAUGUGGAAAAAUUGGAAUCCUCAUUCAUUGUUAGUGGCAUUGGUGUAAAAUGGUGUAGCCACGUUGGAAAACAGUUUGGAUGCUCCUCAAAAUGUUACAUCUGAAGUUACCAUAUGACCCAGCAAUUCCACUCCUACAUUAUCCCAUUUAUAUGAAAUGUCCAGAUGAGGCAAAUCCACACAGACAGGAAAUAGUUUAGUGGUUGCCAGAGGAUGAGGGAAGGGGAAAGGGAAGGGAUGGGGAGUGACUGCUAAUGGGUACGCAGUUUCUUUUGGGGGUAUAAAAAUAUUCUGGAAUUAGUGGUGAUGAAUUACAGCUCUGUGAAUAUAUAACCGUUUACUUGUAUAUUUUUAAAUGGUGAAUUUCAUGAUAUGUGACUUACAUCUCAUCAAAGCUGUUAUUAACAAAACAGUACCCACCUCCUACCUUAUAGGGUUGCUGGGAUGAUUUUUUUUUUUUUUUUUUUAGAUGGAGUCUCGCUCUGGCGCCCAGGCUGGAGUGCAGUGAGGUGAUCUCGGCUCACUGCAACCUCUGCCUCCUGGGUUCAAGCAAUUCUCCUGCCUCAGCCUCCCAAGUAGCUGGGAUUACAGGUGCAUGCCACAACGCCCGGCUAAUUUAUAUAUUUUUAGUAGAGACAGAGUUUUGCCUUUUUGGCCAGGCUAAUCUCAAACUCCUGACCCCAAGUGAUCUGCCUGCCUCAGCCUCUCAAAGUGCUGGGAUUACAGGUUUAAGCCACCAUGCUCAGCCCACUGGGAGAAUCAUAUGAAGUCCCCAGUAUAUGUCCUAGCCCUAGAGCUCCUUUGUCAAUGGUAUCAGAGAUGUAAUUAGUAUCAUCACUCUAUCCUCCAAGGUUACCUGGGGCACAAAUAGAAGCAUACAAACAAGCUGAUAACAGUGACUAAUUCUGGGGCAAGAUCUGAGUUUGAGAGUGGUGGAAAAAAGAGACUUUAGCUUUAUGUGUAAUGUUUUAAUAUUUUAAAGGAGCAUGCAUUCAUCUAUUAUUUGUGUAAUUAAAUUUUAAUUUUCACUAGGGCAGUGAAACUACUCUGUAGGAUAUUAUAAUGGUAGAUACAUGUCAUUACACAUUUGUUCGAACCCACAGAAUACACAACACCAAGGAUGCUCCCCACUGUAAACUACGGACUCUGAGUGAUCACAAUGCUUCAUGCAGGUUCAUCAACUGUAAUAACUGUACCACUCUGCUGGGGGAUGCUGAUAAUGGGGGAG